GUAGGUGAACCUGCGGAAGGAUCAUUACCGAAUUGUCAACAAGAGUUGUUGCUGGUCCCCGUACGGGGGCAUGUGCACACUUUGUUUACACAUCCACUCACACCUGUGCACCCUCCGUAGUUCUAUGGCCUGGGUGGGCUCUGUCCUCCCGGCGUGGUUCUACGUCUUUACACACACACUACAACAAAGUCUUAUGGAAUGUAUGUCGCGUUUAACGCAAUGAAAUACAACUUUCAGCAACGGAUCUCUUGGCUCUCGCAUCGAUGAAGAACGCAGCGAAAUGCGAUAAGUAAUGUGAAUUGCAGAAUUCAGUGAAUCAUCGAAUCUUUGAACGCACCUUGCGCCCUUUGGCUAUUCCGAAGGGCAUGCCUGUUUGAGUAUCAUGAACACCUCAACUCUCAUGGCUUGCCAUGAUGAGCUUGGACUUUGGGGGUCUUGUUGGCCUGUGAGCCAGCUCCUCUUAAAUGAAUUAGCUUGCCGGUGUUUGGUGGCGUCACGGGUGUGAUAACUAUCUACGCUUGUGGUUUCCCACCAGGUAACCUUCAGCAAUGGAGGUUCGCCGGAGCUUAUAAAUGUCUCUCCUCGGCGAGGACACAUUUUGACCAUUUGAUCUCAAAUCAGGUAGGACUACCCGCUGAACUUAAGCAUAUCAAUAAGCGGAGGAAAAGAAACUAACAAGGAUUCCCCUAGUAACUGCGAGUGAAGCGGGAAGAGCUCAAA
rnacentral:rRNA from 1 species